rnacentral:rRNA from 1 species
CGGCCUUCGGGUUGUAAACCUCUUUCAGCACAGACCAAGGGCCUGUUGAGGGUUUUGAGUGUAUGUGCAGAAGAAGCACCGGCUAACUACGUGC